UAGAAUGUUGUGUAAUUAGGUAGCACGGAGAAUUUUGAGUUCUUAGGUGCAGGUUCGAUUCCUGUAGUUCUAG
rnacentral:tRNA from 2 species